rnacentral:piRNA from 1 species
CUGUCAGCGGUACAUUUAAUUAUGGCCUUCUUUAGCGCGUCGUAUUUAUUGUCUGGUGGAGGUGAUAUAAUGAAUUCACGUACCUCUAUGGCAGUUGAUGGAGGUAAAAGUGAAAUUAGAUAAGAAAAUUUGGUGUCAUCAUUUGUAAUUGGACUUGGCUUGUUCAAUAAAAAUUGUGAUUCCAAUGUUAUGAACCACAAUUCUGGAUCGUUUGGCCAAAAUUCGGGUGCUUUAAUUGAAUCCAUUUUGAGAAUAUAUUGUAUUUAAAAAUUAUAUGUCCUUAAGAGAUAUUAAAAUUCUGAUUAUUAAAUUAUUAAAAUUCAGAAUUAAAAUUUUAUAUUUGAUUUUUUUAUUUGAUAAGAAAAAAUAUUUCAAUAUAUUAUCAAGUUAUAAUUUUCAAAUUGUAAGUUAUAUAUUAUUUUUUAAUUGCCAAUUUAAUGUGUAUUUGAAUUUAUUUAAUAUUUAUUUCUUAAAAUUAUAUUUGAUAUCUGAUUUGUUUUUAAGUUGAAAAUUUGCCUUGAAUUAAAUACCAAACGAUGUAUGUUGUAUAGUUAUUAUUUAAUCAUUACUCACCAGAUGAAAUUAUUAUUACAAAUUAUUUAUUACACUUUAUAUUUAUAUUUUUACAUCAACACGUUGUUUAGAUUAUACAUCGUAUUAUUAUUGUUUAUGAUGAUGAUCUAUUAUAUAUUUUAAAACACAGAAUACUACAUUCCCUCCUUCCUUUAGAUGAAAGGAAUCAUGUCUUUAUAUCUUGAUGAUGGCUUGACGACUCUUCCACUCCUGGUGAUCACGGGUUCCUUGGUAGUCGGCAAGGGUGGAGAAACCUCUGGUGGCAACUGGUGAAGAGCCUCGGCAUCAAGUCUAUCUGAAACAACUGGGUUAAAUGUAGACCCUGUUCUACUUGAACUUGGUCGGUUUAAAGAAGUGUCCUUGUCUUGGUUUGAGGAAUUAUCAUCUGUUAUUUGUACAUCAGAAGAGUUGAGGUGUUCAAUUCUUGUUGAAUCUGAACUAAGAUUUUUCUGGCUCUCUUCUGGAAUCAAGUCAGAAAUGCCUUGAUUGGUCUCUUGAGUAGGAACAUGUUUCAAAUGUUUAGCAUUUCUAUGAAUUAUUUUCCCAUUUUUAGUGUUGACUAAUUUAAAAUAAUUUAUUGAAGUGUUUUCAAGAAUGACAUGAUGUUCUGAUCUGAAAUUUGAAUCAAGUUUUCCAUUAUUUGGAUUUGCCACAUAAACUAAAUUUCCAAUUUCAAAAUUAUGAGGACUAGCUUUCCGAAUUAUAUCAUUAUAUGUUUUCAUUUUUUCUUUGUAGACCAUAUUGAAUUCUUUGAUGUUGGAUUCAUCUUCUUCUGCAUCAUUAACAAGUGAGCUUAAUUUAGUUUUGAUUUCUCUUGAAAAUAAUAGGAAUGCUGGAGUCUUUCCUGUAGAUCUGUUUGGAGUAGUUCGGUAAGACAUUAAAAUUCUGGAUAAAUCUUCUUUCCAAUCUUUCCCUUCUUCAGAACUUGAAUUAAAUUGUUUCUUUAGAAAUCUAUGGAAUCUUUCUAUCUUCCCAUUACUUUUUGGGUAAUAGGGUGAGGCUUUGAUGUGCCUGAUUCCACAUUCUUUUAAAAAUCUUUCCAUUGAUGUACUUACAAACUGUAAGCCAUUAUCUGUUACAACUUCAUGUGGAUAACCAUGUCUUGCAAAAAUCUCCAUCAAUUUUUCAAUAAUUGUCUUGCUGGAAAUGUCUUCUAUUAUCAUUGCUUCAGGAUAUGAAGAAUAGUAGUCGAUCACUGUUAAAACAUAAUGAUGGCCAAUUGGACCAACUAUGUCAAUUCCAAGUUUCAUCCAAGGUUUUGAUGGUAACGGAACUAUUUGCAAUGGUUGAUCAUUUAUCAAUGGUUGAUUCCUUACACAAAUUGGACAGUUUCUAAUCAAAUUUUCAAUGUCAAAGUCCAUGUUUAUCCAAAAAUAUUUUUCUCUUAACAGUUGUUUGGUUCUUGUCAUUCCUUGAUGUGUUUCAUGUGCAAUUCUCAAGACUCUCUUUAUUAGUUUUGAAGGUAGCAAAAUUCUACUUCCUUUUAAGAUAAGAUUAUCAAAAAUUGAGAGUUCAUCUUUAAACUUAUAAAAACAUUUGAAUUCUUCAUUCAAAGGAUAUGGCCAAACUCCCUUUUGAACCAUAUCUUUCAGUUUUUGAAACAAAGGAUCUUGCUCUGUACAAACUUUUAUCUCUUUCAAAGACAGUGCUUGAAGCUCUUCAGAAGUGAUGGAUAAGACUUUAUGAACAUAGUUCUCCAGCCAUUUUUCAUCACUUGUGUUAGAAAGAGGUUGUCUUGAAAAUAUAUCUGCAAUAUUUUGCUUUCAAUGAAUUCAAUUUCAAAGUCAUAUAUGGUUGUAAUCUCCAACUCAAUCUUUGAAUUCUUGGAGGCAAAACAGCUCCAUUUUUAGGAUUCAGCAUAUAGAUUAGAGGUUUGUGAUCUGUUUUUAACACAAAUUUCCUUCCCCAAAUACACAGGUCUACAAAACUCAAAGUAGUUGUACCUUAUAGCAUAUAUAUAUCGGGAUUCAGAAAAAAAACUCUGAGAGAUAUUUGAUGCACAGGGAUAUUUAUCACUGUGCAUCAAAUAUCUCUCAGAGUUUUUUUUCUGAAUCCCGAUAUAUAUAUGCUAUAAGGUACAACCUUUUUGAGUUUUGUAGACCUGUGAUAUAGGUGUUAAAAUGUUCAAUUGCCCAUACACAUCCCAAUGUCUCUUUUUCUAUUUGUGAAUAUCUUUUUUCAGUAUCAGUUAAGGAUCUGCUGGCAUAUGCAAUGGGUCUUUUAAUGCCAUUUUGUUGUGUUUGUAUUAAUACUGCUCCAAGACCAAUAGGGCUUGCAUCUGUGAUUAAUUCAGUUGUUGAGUUCAAGUUGUAAUAUGCCAAGCAUGGCUCUUUUGUUAGUGACUCUUCAAGAUCCUGAAAUGCUUUAUUUGUUUUCAAAUCCCAAUUCCACCUAACAUUUUUUCUAGUCAAAUUAUUUAGAGGUUCUGCCAAUUUAGAAAAAUUAGGUAUGAAUUUUCUUAAAAACCCACAAGUUCCUAAGAAUGACCUUAACAUCUCAAUAUUUUUUGGUAUUGGAAAAUUUAAGACUGCUUCUAUUUUCCUAUUAUCAGGUUUAAUACCUUCACUACUAACAAUGUGACCUAAAAUAUCCAAUUCUUCCAUUGCAAAUUUGCACUUAUUCCUGUUGAGCCUAAUGCCUACUUUAUCAAAUCUUUGUAAGACUUUUCUAAGCCUUUCUUCUAGUUCUUGUCUAUCUUUGGCGUAAACUACGACAUCGUCCAAGUAACAAAUUACACCUUUCAAAUCAAGCAAAAUUGAAUCCAUUCCUUUCUGAUAUGCCUCUGGAGCACUUGAUAGACCAAAAGGAACUUUACAAAAUCUGUAACAACCACGGUGCGUGAUGAAAGUUGUAAGGGGUCUUGAUUGAGGGUCUAAGUCAACCUGCCAAAACCCUUUUUUCGCAUCCAGCUUUGCAAAUACUUUAGCACCUUUAAGGGCAUGUAACAUAUUGUCAAUUGUAGGAAUUGGAUGUCUUUCUCUCAAUAUUGCUUUAUUCACUUCCCGAAGGUCUAUGCAUAGUCUAAUUUCCUCACUAUCCCUUUUUGGAACAACUAUUAUGUUAGAAACCCAUUCAGAACCUUGAUGCACUUCUUCAAUGAUUCCAUUCUCUAGCAUCUUAUCAAGCUCUUGAUUUACUGCUUCUACCAUUGCAUAAGGUAUACGACGGCAUCUCUGGGCAAUGGGCCUAUAGUUGUCUUUCAAUGUCACUUUAUGACUAUAGCCUUUUAUAGUUCCAAGUCCAUGGAAAAGAUGUUCAUGUUCUUGAACAAGAGUUUCUAUAUUAGUAGACAUUGAUUCAUUUACAUAAUUUACCCUUUUAAUUAUACCUAGUUCAAAACUAGCCUUGCCUCCCAACAAAGAUUCAACUUUUUUAUCAAUCACAUAAAUUUCUUCUGAAAUUGAAUUUUCUUUCCAAGAAAUCACAGCAUUGAAAUAACCAUAACAUGGAAGAGGUCUAUCUUGACCAUAGGCAAAAAAGGUUCGGGUGGUGUCAUGUAAUUUUGGCAUAAUUUUAUGGCCAUAUAAUUCAAGCAUCUUAUUAUAGCUUAUGAAAGUUCUAUCACUCCCUGUAUCAAUUAUCAUAUUUAUUUCACUACCAUCUAUUUGCACUUUUUCUUUAUUUUCAGCACCUGUAUAGUAGGUAUAUUCAUCUGAACUUUCACCUACUUCAGUCUUAUUUUCUUCUUGUAUGGUCUUAACUUUAGUUUGAUUGAAACUUUUGUGGUUUCUAUUAUUAUUUUGAUUUGGGCGGUUCCUGCAAGCUCUAAAAAGAUGUCCUAAUUUAUUGCAAUAUGAACAAGUCAUUUUUUAGCACCACAUUCUUGUGCUGAAUGUGUAUCUAAUCCACAGCGAUAACAUUUAGGCUUUGAGGCACCUGAAAAUGAUGGGGUACCUUGAUUAGUGAAUCUACCUUUGUUGAAAUUAUUAGCAUUAUAGUGCUUUUUAGGUUUAUUUUGAACUCUAUUUAGUGUUUGAUCAUUUUGAGGUUCAAGAAGUCUAAUUUCUUUUCUAGAAAUUUCUAACAUUCUAGCAAUAUCAAUGGUUUUUGACAGUGUCAAAUUUUCUUGUUGCAACAAUUUUUCUUUAAGUUUUUUGUUGUUACAUUUUUCAAUUAUUUGGUCUCUUAUCAUAUCAGCUUCUAAAUUCCCAAAUUCACAAGAUUUAGAAAGCUCUCUUAAAGAAAUUAGGUAGUUGUCGAUCGAUUCAUCAUCUUUCUGGACUCUUUGUCUAAAUUUAAAUCUCUCAGUGACCACAUUUUUAUGAGGUGUGAAAUAUUUAUCUAAAGCCAUUUUAGUUUGUUCAUAAUUUUCCUUUUCAUCUGGCAAGUUGAAAAAUAUACGUUGUACAUUUGGCCCUAAACAAUGCAAUAGAGUUGCUCUCUUAAUUUCAUCCGAUUUUUUUGAAAUUCCAGAUGCUAUUUCAAAAAUGGCAUAGGAUUCCAUCCAUUGCUUAUAUUCCGCAAAUAAAUUGCUAGCAUUCAUAUUCAUGGGUAACGGUGGCGUCAGGUUGGCUGCCAUACUUGUUUUUUUUUUAGGGCUACAGUUAUAUUUUCAAAUUCUCGUCGCCAAUUUAUGUUGUAUAGUUAUUAUUUAAUCAUUACACUCACCAGAUGAAAUUAUUAUUACAAAUUAUUUAUUAUUUAUAUUUAUAUUUUUACAUCAAUACGUUGUUUAGAUUAUACAUCGUAUUAUUAUUGUUUAUGAUGAUGAUCUAUUAUAUAUUUUAAAACACAGAAUACUACAAUGUACGUUUUCGUAGUUUUUAAAUAUUGCGAAAUAUGUUAUAAUUUUUGUUUUAAAUAUAAAUAUUUAAUAUGUAUUUCUUAAAUAUUUAUAAUUUGAUAUUAUGAGUAUUUUCAUUUUUCACUUUUGAUCGAAUUGAAAUUCUUGUUUGAUUGCUUGCAAAUGUUCGUUAAAAGUUUACCGGCUCACCAUUUUGUGGGUGGCAUGGAAUUCUAGGCGGAGUCAGAUAACAAAUUAUUUAUUGUAAAAUAAACCUUUAAUUACAUUUAUUUAAUACAAAUUAUCAGAAGGGGUUGCAUUGUUGUAUUAUUACAUGUUGAAGUUAUUUUUUAUGUCUGUGUGUGUGGUCAAAUAUCAAUUCUAGAUUAUAUAAUGUUAGACAUAUGUGCUUGAUAUAUUAUAGAUAAAUAUUUACAUUUCAUAUUAUUUAUGAUUUAUAUUUAGAGUGAUGUAUAAUUAUUUUAUUAUAUUGAUAUGGCAACAAUUAAUAUGAUAUUAAUGUUAAUUCAUAUAAUUUUAAUAAAGUAUAUUUUAUAAGCAUUAUAUAUUUAUAAGAUGAAUAAUUUUAAUAUUUGAAUUGAAUAGUUAUUAGACAAAUUAAAACUUAUAAUGAAAAUAGGAAAAGUUAAUAUUUGGGAGCCGCUACAGAUCUAUAAAAAUAAAAGUUUUCUUUAGCCGUCAAAAUAAACGUCAAAACUAGACGUCAAUAUUCAAUAUCCUCCCUACAAAAUUUCUAUCUAAGUAUAAUUAAGUUAUAAUUGCCAUCUAUCGAUACAUUAUAUAUUUAUUUUUGGCAUUAUGUUUCUUUAUGAUAUAGAUUAUCAAAAAUGAUCUCUGCAUACCUUACUGCAAAGAUAGAGAAAUAUUAUAUUAUUUUGCUAAUAUAUAUCAUAAAGAAACAAUGACAAAAUAUAAGCGCAAACUGUAAAGAAAUUAAGUAGUUACAUAUACAAAAAAAAAUUGUAUAUGCAUUGUAGCCUUGUGUAUAAUUAGCACAAAAAUGAGUUUUAUACUUACCGGGUAUUUUGCCCUUAUCUCUUUAAGAAGUCCAUACCUGGAUAAACAAAAGUCACUUUGUCAUGAAAGAACUGACAUUCUGACCAAUGUGAUGGUAAAUAGCCUAUUAAAUACGUUUAUAACAGUAUAGGAAAGUCUUGAGACAAAUAGGUCGAGAUUAGCAUGAAUAAGAGCUACAGGCAAAAUUUUGGAAAAACAGAUAUUGACACGAAGAACAAUGAAAAAACGUAUAUAUAUCGAUAUAUUAAAGUGAAACCAUCAGGCUUCUAGUUUCUUUUUAAAAAAAUUAAUUCAGAUCUCUGAAAAACUUAUCCCUGAAAGCCUGAUGUUUUCACUUUAAUAAGAAAAAGCUCAACUAAAUGUGACUGGUAAGAGUGUGGCAAUCAUUUCCAAUAGAAUGGUUACGGGAAAUGAUAGUGGAGAAAUCAUUCUGAAAAUCAGACAACAGAAAAACUUGGUGAAAAUGUUCUACUAAUAUGCUUAGCUUAUAAAUGCAAGAUGCAAUAACGCGAGACAUUAAGAUAUCGCUUUGUGAUCAUCUCCUAUUUCGCAUGCAUUGGCUGCAGAAAUAAUUGUGAAAUGUAGUAAUGUAUCGUAUAUGUAAUGUUCCUCUCUUCGAUUAAAUAAAUAAAUAUGCUUUAUUAAAUUAAUAAACUAAUUUUUAUUAUAUAUAUUUUUAAUGUCAAACGUACACUUUUUAAAUAGAUUCAUAACUACAACAAUAAUUACAGUGCUGCCAAAUCCAAACAAUCAAAAAUAAAUUAAUUAAACAGAGUAUAUUAUAAUAUUAUUAUAAGGUAUAUUACAACUCCCCCGACUUCAAGCGACUUCAUCCCUCCUGGGAUGUCGAUGCAGAUAAGGUUGGAUAUUGGAGAUGUGAGCCGUUCUUGGAGUUUUAUCAUCAGACUCAUAUUCAACAUAUUUGGGGUGGCCAUCCAUUUUGGUUACCCUUGUCACUCGAUGCGGACCAGAUAGCUUCCAUUCCUUUCCAACCUUCUGAUGUCUUACCAAAAUAUAAUCGUCGAUAUUCAUCUCUGGUGGCAGGGCCUUCUUACGACUGUUAAAAUAAAACUUUGUUCUUUGUCGGUAGAGGUUUUGCUCAAUUUGACUUUUUUCUGUUUCAUAAAGAACACAGUGAAGAUUAAGCUCUUUAUCGGCAGGUAAAACAGGGGAAGUUUUUGUAAGUUUGAAUAAAGGGGAGCAACCCAGGUAGGAGUUGUAGGAUCUAUUAUGGUAGCGUACUGCCGCUUCUAAGGCAUUUUUCCAUCCACCCUUGAAGUGAGGAUAGCACGAGAGAAAGGUCUUUAUAUCUCGUAUAGCUCGUUCCGCUAAACCAUUUCCUGCAGGGUGAUAAGGAGAAGUAGUUAUUAAUCGGAUGUCUUUGGAGGUUGCCCACCUAGGGAAUUCUCCAUACACAAAUGAUCUCCCUUGAUCGGAGACUAUAGUUCUCACUGAUUUCAGAUCCUCAUGUUCGUUGAAAUAUUUUAUUAGAGCACGGCCAUGUUGUUUCAUUGCCUUUGCUUGAACUACCCUAGUAGCCUCGUCAAUAAUUAGUAAAAAUGUUGAAUUCUUAUCCUUGAUGUUAGAAGGAGCCUCGGCGAAAUCUACAUGUACAGUAUGGAAAGGUACCCUUGAUUGAUGGGGCAAACUCAUCUUUGAAGGACGGCUCUUAUACUUGAACUUGGCCCUUUGACAGAUAGGACAAGAAGAUACAUAUUUCCUUAUGUCAUUCUUCAUACCAGGCCAAACAAAGCGUUGCUUCAUUUUAUAAUAUGUCCUCCAAAACCCCGAAUGUCCUCCUGAUAAGGGAUCAUCAUGGUACAUAGAUAAAAUUGAAGUUCGAUGUUCGUGAGGGACAAAAUAUUUCCCGUGAUCUUCUAAUUUUAAAGGAAUACUCUGAUGUUUAACAAACAGUACGGUUUGAUCGCUGGAAUUUGGUGUUUCUACAGCCAAUCUAGACAGCGCGUCUGCAUCGCUGAGCUCCCUGCCAGAACGGUGGUUCACUCUCAUUUCGAAUGAGCUCAGAAACAGCUGCCACCUCGCAAGUCGAUCCCGGAGAUGGCCACAGGAAAGUAGCUGUGUCAAUGCGCGAUGAUCCGUGUGGACAGCAAAAGACUUGCCUUCCAAAUACCAUCUGAAGUGUUUGACAGCCUUCAACACAGCAAGGCAUUCUUUUUCGGUGAUGGAAUAAUUUUGUUCAGCCUUGGAAAAUGUAUAUGAAUAAUAACUAAUCACUCUGAGUUGAAGUGAUUUCCUUUUAUUCACGUCUCUCUGGUAUAGAAUAGCCCCUGUUCCAUAAUAUGAAGCAUCUGUUGACAUUUCAUAAGGCAAUGACUCAUCUGGGAUUGCCAGUAUUGGUUUUGACGUGAUGAUAUCAAUAAGUUUUAAAUAGGCCUCUUCACAUUUAUCAGACCACAUAAAACUAGAAUCUUUUUUCUUCAGGUUGUCCAACGGUCGAACUAUCGUGGCAUAGUUUGGUAUAUAGGCCCGAAAAUGACCUGUAAAUCCAGUAAAACAUUGUAGUGACUUAAGAUUAUAUGGGCGUUUCAUGAGUUUAGCCUUUUCGAUUACUUCCUCCUUCAUUUGCUUCGAGUUACCGUUGAUAAUAUUACCUAAAAGUUCUACCUCAGAUACACAAAUUUGGCACUUGCCCAAGUUCACUGUCAUAUUAUAUUGAUUCAGUCU